UUUUUACCAAUUUUCAUUCUCCAGUUUCCUACUGGUGAAUGGUAUUACUCUACAUUCAAUCUAUAAAGUUGCUAAUAUUGGAGUCAUUCUAAACUCAUUUCUCUCUUUGCUCCUGAUCUUGAUGGUGUAACUUCCACCCCUCACAGGGACACCUCCUCCUCUGUCUAACUGACUUAAUACAGUCUAACAGCUUCCUACAGACAAUCACCAGCUCUCUCGCUAGAAACCCACUUUCCACCCUAUAUAGCAAGUACCACUUUCUGAAAUCCAGAUAUGAAUGCAUCAUUCACUUGCUUAAAAACCCCUACUGGGGUUCUCUGGUCUGGAGAUCAAGUACAACUUCUUAGUGUG
rnacentral:lncRNA from 1 species